rnacentral:sRNA from 1 species
CGGAGGGAUCAUUGCUGGACGCGCCCCAGGCGCACCCAGAAACCCUUUGUGAACUUAUACCUUACUGUUGCCUCGGCGCAUGCCGGCCCCCAGGGGCCCCUCGGAGACGAGGAGCAGGCACGCCGGCGGCCAAGUUAACUCUUGUUUUUACACUGAAACUCUGAGAAAAAAAACAAAAUGAAUCAAAACUUUCAACAACGGAUCUCUUGGUUCUGGCAUCGAUGAAGAACGCAGCGAAAUGCGAUAAGUAAUGUGAAUUGCAGAAUUCAGUGAAUCAUCGAAUCUUUGAACGCACAUUGCGCCCUCUGGUAUUCCGGAGGGCAUGCCUGUUCGAGCGUCAUUUCAACCCUCAAGCAUUGCUUGGUGUUGGGGCACUGCUUCUCUCGCGGGAAGCAGGCCCUGAAAUUCAGUGGCGAGCUCUCCAGGACCCCGAGCGCAGUAGUUAAACCCUCGCUUUGGAAGGCCCUGGCGGUGCCCUGCCGUUAAACCCCCAACUUCUGAAAAUUUGACCUCGGAUCAGGUAGGAAUACCCGCUGAACUUAAGCAAU